AUCAAAUCCAUUCAUUUGAUUAGGCUGAGAUGCGAAGUCAAUAUAGAUUGCAAUAUAUUGCUUUAGAAACAUGACUUCCACAUCACCAGGGUCUUCAUCGUCCCUGAGUUUACCACUGUCCUCUGGGCCCACCACUACUCCAUGCGGUUUUUGAUCCAGCACUUCUGGAACUGAUGUACGAGACUGUCACCAGGAGUUCUUGAGGAGCCUCGUGUACCCGCUGCUCAGAAGGAAGAGACCUGUGUGUGUCCACUUGGCUGAGGGAUCCUCGGUGAGAAGACUGUUCCUGGGUUUGGGUGGCCAUCAGGCGCAGGCACCCACAGCUCUCACCUGGUGCGGAUGCGUGGAGAGGUUUGGAAGCUCUAGGAGAAGAAAGAUGUUGGGAACAAAUAAUACCUGCUGAGACACUCUGAUGAGAGCAUGGGAUGAGAGGACUUCCUGAACCAUGAUGUGCUCCCUGCUCCCUCGACCCCACUGGAACAGGCGUGUCCUCACUUCCUGGGGCUGGAGUGCAAAAGUAGAAAGUCAAGAAAGCUGGAGUAACAGGCAAAUUUGGCAAACACCCUCUUCCAGCAACACAAGAGAAGACUCUACACAUGGACAUCACCAGAUGGUCAACACCGAAAUCAGACUGAUUACAUUCUUUGCAGCCAAAGAUGGAGAAGCUCUAUAUAGUCAGCAAAAAUAAGACGAGGAGCUGACUGUGGCUCAGAUCAUGAACUCCUUAUUACCAAAUUCAGACUUAAAUUGAAGAAAGUAGGGAAAACCACUAGACCAUUCAGGUAUGACCUAAAUCAAAUCCCUUAUGAUUAUACAGUGGAAGUGAGAAAUAGAUUUAAGGGCCUAGAUCUGAUAGAUAGAGUGCCUGAUGAGCUAUGGAAUGAGGUUCAUGGCAUUGUUCAGGAGACAGGGAUCAAGACCAUCCCCAUGGAAAAGAAAUGCAAACAAGCAAAAUGGCUGUCUGGGGAGGCCUUACAAAUAGCUGUGAAAAGAAGAGAAGCAAAAAGCAAAGGAGAAAAGGAAAGAUAUAAGCAUCUGAAUGCAGAGUUCCAAAGAAUAGCAAAAAGAGAUAAGAAAGCCUUCUUUAGUGAUCAAUGCAAAGAAAUACAGGAAAACAACAGAAUGGGAAAGACUAGAGAUCUCUUCAAGAAAAUUAGAGAUACCAAGGGAACAUUUCAUGCAAAGAUGGGCUCAAUAAAGGACAGAAAUGGUAUGGACCUAACAGAAGCAGAAGAUGUUAAGAGGAGGUGGCAAGAAUACACAGAAGAACUGUACAAAAAAGAUCUUCACGACUCAGAUAAUCAUGAUGGUGUGAUCACUGACCUAGAGCCAGACAUUCUGGAAUGUGAAGUCAAGUGGGCCUUAGAAAGCAUCACUAUGAACAAAGCUAGUGGAGGUAAUGGAAUUCCAGUUGAGCUAUUCCAAAUCCUGAAAGAUGAUGCUGUGAAAGUGCUGCACUCAAUAUGCCAGCAAAUUGGG
ensembl:lncRNA